UACGGGAGGGGCAAGCGUUAUCCGGCAUAACUGGGCGUAAAGCGCACGUAGGCGGCUUUGUAAGUCAGAGGUGAAAUCCCGGGGCUCAACCCCGGAACUGCCUUUGAGACUGCAUCGCUUGAAUCCAGGAGAGGUGAGUGGAAUUCCGAGUGUAGAGGUGAAAUUCGUAGAUAUUCGGAAGAACACCAGUGGCGAAGGCGGCUCACUGGACUGGUAUUGACGCUGAGGUGCGAAAGCGUGGGGAGCAAACAGG
rnacentral:rRNA from 1 species